rnacentral:lncRNA from 1 species
UUUAUCAUAUGUUUAGUGCAAAAUACAGCAAUUUUGUAUAUCUAAUAAAGGUUCUUUUUUCCAGUCUGUAUCACCUAACCUGUAUCGCAUACCCCGUAUCGCAUGGCUAAACCCGUAUCGCAUACCCCGUAUCGCAUGGCAAAACCCGUAUCGCAUACCUGGCAUGACGUCACAAUUCGAAUGACGUCAACGUUUGACAUAUGACGUUCAGUUGCUGUAUUUCCUGGCAUAGGCAAAAAAAUGAGUUCCGAUUAAAAAAAAAAUGUCCUAUCAUUUUCAAAAAUUAUUACCCAGUAAC